AACGCACAUUGCGCCCUUUGGUAUUCCGAAGGGCAUGCCUGUUCGAGCGUCAUUAUCACCUCUCAAGCCUGGCUUGCUGUUGGACUUUCGGUAUUGCGUAGGCAUAACCAGUCCCAAAGAUAAUGACGGCGUCUGUGAAGACCCUAGUACACUGAGCUAUUCAUUUGGCACGUAUUAGAGGGAGUCCAGGCCCGGUCUUUACUUAUUUUUCUUAAGGUUGACCUCGGAUCAGGUAGGAAUACCCGCUGAACUUAA
rnacentral:misc_RNA from 1 species